rnacentral:rRNA from 1 species
AGAGUUUGAUUCUGGCUCAGAACGAACGCUGGCGGCGCGUCUUAAACAUGCAAGUCGAACGAGAAUCCCGGUGCUUGCAUUGGGAGGAGAGUGGCGAACGGGUGAGUAACACGUGGAUAAUCUGCCUCCAGGAUUGGGAUAACUACUCGAAAGGGUGGCUAAUACCGAAUAACAUGGCACGCUACACAAGUAGUAGCCAUUAAAGGUGGGGACCGCAAGGCCUACCACCUGGAGAUGAGUCCGCGGCCCAUUAGCUAGUUGGCGGGGUAAUGGCCCACCAAGGCGACGAUGGGUAGCCGGCCUGAGAGGGUGACCGGCCACAUUGGGACUGAGAUACGGCCCAGACUCCUACGGGAGGCAGCAGUUAAGAAUCUUGCGCAAUGGGGGAAACCCUGACGCAGCGACGCCGCGUGGACGAUGAAGGCCUUCGGGUUGUAAAGUCCAAUAAGCAGGGAAGAAUAAGCAACGGGUAAUAUUCGUUGUGAUGACGGUACCUGCCUAAAGCCCCGGCUAACUACGUGCCAGCAGCCGCGGUAAUACGUAUGGGGCUAGCGUUGUUCGGAAUUAUUGGGCGUAAAGGGCGUCUAGGCGGGGGAUUAAGUUGGGUGUGAAAUCCCUGGGCUCAACCCAGGAACUGCAUCCAAAACUGGUUCUCUUGAGUUCGGGAGAGGAGAGCGGAAUUCCCGGUGUAGCGGUGAAAUGCGUAGAUAUCGGGAAGAACACCAGUGGCGAAGGCGGCUCUCUGGCCUAGAACUGACGCUGAAGCGCGAAAGCGUGGGGAGCGAACGGGAUUAGAUACCCCGGUAGUCCACGCUGUAAACGUUGUGUACUAGGUGUUAGUGACUUGUUCACUAGUGCCGACGCUAACGCAUUAAGUACACCGCCUGGGGAGUACGGCCGCAAGGCUUAAACUCAAAGAAAUUGACGGGGGCCCGCACAAGCGGUGGAGCAUGUGGUUUAAUUCGAUGAUACGCGA